rnacentral:rRNA from 1 species
UUGCUAGCCGCUGACGAUCGGCGAGACUGGUGAGUAACGCAUAGGAAUUUACCCGGAUAGUGGGGGAUAACCUGGGGAAACCCAAGGUAAUACCGCAGACGUCCUACGGGAGAAAGGGGGCUUUGGCUCCCGCUAUCGGAUGAGCCUAUGCCGGAUUAGCUGGUUGGUGAGGUAAUGGCUCACCAAGGGGACGAUCCGUAACUGGUCUGAGAGGAUGAUCAGCCACAUCGGGACUGAGACACGGGCCCGAACUCCUACGGGAGGCAACAAUGGGGAAUAUUGGGCAAUUGGGCGCAAGCCUGAUCCAGCCAUGCCGCGUGUUGUGAAGAAAGGCCUCGGGUUGUAAAGCACUUUCAGCGAGGAAGAACGCCUGGCGGUUAAUACCCGCCAGGAAAGACAUCAACUCGCAGAAGAAGCACCGGGCUAACUCCGUGCCAGCAACCGCGGUAAUACGGAAGGUGCAAAGCGUUAAUCCGGAAUUACUUGGGCGUUAAGCGCGCGUUAGUGGCUUGAAUAAACCCGGUUGUUAAAAGCCCCCGGGCUCAAACCUGGGAACGGGAAUCCCGGAAC